GACGAACGCUGGCGGCGUGCUUAACACAUGCAAGUCGAACGGAAAGGCCCCUUUGGGGGUACUCGAGUGGCGAACGGGUGAGUAACACGUGAGUAACCUGCCCUUGACUUCGGGAUAACUUCAGGAAACUGGGGCUAAUACCGGAUAGGAAUCCUUGCUGCAUGGUGGGGGUUGGAAAGCUUCGGCGGUUUUGGAUGGACUCGCGGCUUAUCAGCUUGUUGGUGGGGUAGUGGCUUACCAAGGCUUUGACGGGUAGCCGGCCUGAGGGGGCGACCGGCCACAGUGGGACUGAGAUACGGCCCAGACUCCUACGGGAGGCAGCAGUGGGGAAUAUUGCACAAUGGGCGGAAGCCGGAUGCAGCAACGCCGCGUGCGGGAUGACGGCCUUCGGGUUGGAAACCGCUUUCAGCAGGGGCGAAGCUUGUGGUGACGGUACCUGCAGAAGAAGCACCGGCUAACUACGUG
rnacentral:rRNA from 1 species